GACGAACGCUGGCGGCGUGCUUAACACAUGCAAGUCGAACGGAAAGGCCCCCACCUUGGUGGGGGUGCUCGAGUGGCGAACGGGUGAGUAACACGUGGGUGAUCUGCCCUGUACUUCGGGAUAAGCUUGGGAAACUGGGUCUAAUACCGGAUAGGACCAUGGUUUAGUGUCUCAUGGUGGAAAAAUUAUUGUUUUGGUGCAGGAUGAGCUCGCGGCCUAUCAGCUUGUUGGUGGGGUAAUGGCCUACCAAGGCGUCGACGGGUAGCCGGCCUGAGAGGGUGGACGGCCACAUUGGGACGGAGAUACGGCCCAGACUCCUACGGGAGGCAGCAGUGGGGAAGAGUGCACAAUGGGCGCAAGCCUGAUGCAGCGACGCCGCGUGGGGGAUGACGGCCUUCGGGUUGUAAACUCCUUUCGUUAGGGACGAAGCCACACCUUUUUGGGGUGUGGUGACGGUACCUUUGUUAAGAAGCACCGGCUAACUACGUG
rnacentral:rRNA from 1 species